rnacentral:rRNA from 1 species
UACGUAGGGCGCAAGCGUUGUCCGGAAUCACUGGGCGUAAAGCGCACGUAGGCGGAUAUGUCAGUCAGGGGUGAAAUCCCGGGGCUCAACCUCGGAACUGCCUUUGAUACUGCAAAUCUCGAGUCCGGAAGAGGUGAGUGGAAUUCCUAGUGUAGAGGUGAAAUUCGUAGAUAUUAGGAAGAACACCAGUGGCGAAGGCGGCUCACUGGUCCGGUACUGACGCUGAGGUGCGAAAGCGUGGGGAGCAAACAGG